GAUGAACGCUGGCGGCGUGUUUAACACAUGCAAGUCGAGCGAAGCGCUUUGGUUAGAUUCUUCGGAUGAAGACCUUUGUGACUGAGCGGCGGACGGGUGAGUAACGUGUGGGUAACCUGCCUCAUACAGGGGGAUAACAGUUAGAAAUGGCUGCUAAUACCGACAUAAGCGCACGGUACUGCAUGGUACAGUGUGAAAAACUCCGGUGGUAUGAGAUGGACCCGCGUUGGAUUAGCUAGUUGGCAGGGUAAC
rnacentral:rRNA from 1 species